rnacentral:lncRNA from 1 species
CUCAGGGCCUGACCAGCUCAGAGCUGCUGCGCAUGCGCACCGGAGCAGCGCUAAUGGCGGAGAGCGUGCGGUCGCCGUUCGAUUACCGGGAGCCCCCGACCCUCGACAGCGACGGGGAUGGAGGAAAGCCGCCGCCGCCGCGCGGGCGAGUGUGUGGCAGGAAGAGGAAGGGGACGCCGGUGAAGGUGUGUGAAAGAGCGGCGUAUGUGACGGAGGACGAGGAGGAGAGUCUGUCUGAGCACAGUUACAGCCCAGGGGAUGAGCAGUACACAGAGGGAGCUGAAGACCGGAUUCCUGCGCCGAGCAGCCCGUUCUUCCUCACCGACCCGGCACAGCUCUGUGUGCCAGAGCUGGCUGAAGAGGGCGCUAGCGGCGUCCGCGGUCCUGUGCUGUUCCACCCAGCGCCCAACUGCAGGAUUAGAGAGGUGCAUUGUGGGAGUCAGGUCCGGCUCGUCGUCAUAGCCAUUCGAGACAUUGCCAAAGGCGAGGAGAUCACAGUGGACUACAGCCUGACCGACUGGGGAGAAAAUGCCAUGGGCUUUCAUACUUCAGUGUCCCCGCGCGGGUUUGAAUGUGGAUUCAACCCAGAGAGCAACAUCAAGAAGGAGGAGGAGCCGGGUUCACUCCCAAUGUCUCUCAGCGUUUCUGACUACCUCACUCCGUCAUGGUCCCUGUCUCCCUCCUCCUCUCCGCUGUCUCACUCCGAGGCCAGCGACUCCGACCAAGAGGAGGACGAAGAGGAGGAGGACGACGACGAUGAUGAUGAUGACGAUGACGAAGAUGAUCUGGAGGACCUGCGGGGCCGCAUGAUGAGACGCCGCAAGAAACAGAAAACCUCGGCGACCGUCAAGAAGAAAGCCCAGCCCCGCCCCCUGUCCUUCACAUGCCCCGCCCCCUCCUCGCCGACGCCCUUCCAGCAGCCUCUAGCCCCGCCCACCACCAACAUAAACAAUAACAUAAACAUAAACAUCGGCGCGAGCGGCGCGCUCUCCCGGAGACAGCACUGUCCCUACUGCGGCCGUCACUUCCGCUCGCUCGCUAGGCACCUGGAGAAACACCACGAGCAGCAGCCCGAGGUCCGAGCCGCCAUGGAGCUGUCGCACCCCCCCGCCUCCUCGCACCCCGUCACAUCUCCCUCUCAGCCCUCGUCCUCCCUGUUUCCCCGCGAGCGAGACGCUUCGUCUUCAGCGCCGAAGUCCGGAGGCGUCUCCUUCUCGCUCUCGCUGUCUCCGCCUCCUGCCUCCAAUACCGCAAAAAAGAGCUCAGCGACAGCGCCUAAAAACAAGAGCCCGGCCGUCUCGCCCAAGCCUCCCGCCAGGAGAGGACGGCCGCCGAAGAAAGAGAAAGAACAGCAGCAGAAGAAGCAGGAGGAGGUGGAGGAGAAGAAUCAAGAAGACGGAGGCGCAGAGGAGAAGAACAGUGACGUGGCGAGCUCUGGGCGCUCUCACAUGCCUCCUCUGCUGUCGUCGCUCUCCACACUGGUGCUGUAUCUCCGGCGGCAGCAGCACUCCUCGUUCCUGUCUCUGUCGCGCGCUCCUCCGUCCGCCGAGGCCUGGCGUCUGCUCUGCCACUCCAGCCUGGCCCUGCUGAUCCUCUACAACCGGCACCGCGAGUGUGAGGUGGCCAAGCUCACGCUGCAGGACUACCGCAGCCGCGCUGCUCCCUCCUCUCCCUCGCUCGACUCCUCGCUCUCCCCGUUCGAGCGCGCCGUCCUCGGCCAGCUCCCGUGUGUUAGCGUGCUGGGCAAACGCGGCCGCCUCCAGCCGCUCAUCCUUCCUCCGCACUCGGAGGCGUGUCUGGAUCUGCUCCUGGAGACGUCUGCAGACGUGGGCGUGGAUCCCCAGAGCCCCUAUGUGUUCUCCCGGCCGUAUCACUCCCCGGCCACGCCGCUGCGCGGAACCGACCUGCUGCGGAGCCUGGCGCGCUCUAGCGGCGCUAAGAACCCCGCGACGCUCACCGCCCCCCGCGUGCGGCGACAGGUGGCCAUCCUGACCCAGCUGCUGCUGCUGGAGGAGGGAGAGCGCGCCGCCAAACGCCUGGAGGACUUCCUGCAGAGGGAGUAUCACGUGAGCCAGAGCUGCGCUCGGAUUGGCCAGGACCCGGCGCUGAUGAACCGCGUGGGGAGAGUGGUUCUCUACGGAGAGAGAGAGGGAGUGCUGUUCAGAGGAAUGAGCCUGCAGCACAUCUGCCUCGAGCUGGACGUGAUGUCGGGGAACUCUGGCGACUCUUUCUCUGAUGACUCUGAUGGAGAGGCCAGUAAGAGUAAAGACACUGGAAAGAAGAAAGGGUCGCGUAAUCGAGCGCCGCGGCCGAAGAAGAGCAGCAGCCCUCAUCAGUCCACCAGCACACCGUCAGCGGCACACAAGAGACGCAGCGCUCAGGUCAAGUCCGGGAAGCGCGGCGUGCUGAAGCGGCCGUGGUCGGAGGCGGAGCGAGUCGCCGUGGAGACGCACCUGAAGAGGAACAUCAUGGAGCUGCGUGUUCC